AACACUUAGGACACUUUCUCAGUGCGUUCCCCAGUGGAAUGAAAGUGGCUCAAGAGGAAACACUGUGUCUAUAGGCUCACCAUUGUGCCUUCCAUACCCAUCCUGCUGCCUGGCACCUGGUAGGAACUCAAGAAAUGCUUAAAGAAGAAAAGUAAUGAAUGAAAGUGGUCAGAGAUUCCUCACUGGUCAAAAAUGAAAAAUUCGCUAUUCAGAUACAAAGAUACAGUUACAUAGACAUCUCAGAAGCAUGGAAAUAUUUAAUUGGAUGAAUAAAGAGAUCUAGAAAAAUAUUAUCUGAUUUUGACAAAAGAAGAAAGGUGAGAAAGGCAGGGAAACUCCAGAAAAUUGAUGCUAACAGGGGCCUCAAAAAAGUUUUCAGUUUUGAGACUCGAACUGGCUCUUCUUGCUCCUCAAGCUUGCAGACAGCCUAUUGCGAGACCUUGAGAUCAUGUAAGUUAAUACUUAAUAAACUCCCCUUUAUAUAUACAUAUAAUAUCCUAUUAAUUCUGUCACUCUAGGGAACCCUAACUAAUACACUUGCCAACAUGAGAACUAGAAGGAGGAAGUGCAGAGGGGCUGGAAGAGGGAGAUGCAUUAGUAAAUAUGGACUGAGCUAUUCAGAAUUUUGACAGGGUCCAAUAAUUCCUGAAACCUUUGAUGUCUGUCUUACACACACACACACACACACACACACACACACACUGACCUCCCACUGUGUGCUAGUUAAAACAGUGCAAUCCCAGAAGGGUUAAGACUUGACUGAGUCUGAGAAAGCAUUACUAGAUAUCCAAGGACAAAAAAAGAACUCAACUAUUUUAAAAAUCUGAAAAGGUAAAAGCUCGGAGAAAAGACUUAAGAUAUAUCUUAAGAAUUCAAAAGCCCUCAAAGCAAGCAGAUAAUAAAGGGAAGAAUGAGUUGACA
rnacentral:lncRNA from 13 species